rnacentral:rRNA from 1 species
CAAGUUUGAUCCUGGCUCAGAACGAACGCUGGCGGCGUGGAUUAGGCAUGCAAGUCGAACGAGAAUCUGAGAGUCCAAGUUUUCGGACAAGGACUUUUGGAGGAAAGUGGCGGAAGGGUGAGUACAACAUGGAUAAUCUACCUUCAAGUUGGGUAUAGCUUUCCGAAAGGAGAGAUAAUCCCGGAUGUGGUGAUCCGGCGCAUGCCGGAGACUCCAAAGGUGGGGACCGCAAGGCCUGCCGCUUGAAGAUGAGUCCGUGCACUAUCAGCUAGUUGGUGAGGUAAUGGCUCACCAAGGCUAUGACGGUUAGCUGGUCUGAGAGGAUGGUCAGCCACACUGGGACUGAGAUACUGCCCAGACUCCUACGGGAGGCUGCAGUCGAGAAUCAUUCGCAAUGGGCGAAAGCCUGACGGUGCGACGUCGCGUGGAGGAUGACGGUCUUCGGAUUGUAAACUCCUGUCAUGUGGGAUAAAUAGCCCGGGUGUGAAUAGCACUUGGGACUGAUAGUACCACAGGAGGAAGAGACGGCUAACUCUGUGCCAGCAGCCGCGGUAAUUCAGAGGUCUCGAGCGUUGUUCGGAUUUACUGGGCGUAAAGGGAGCGUAGGCGGCCGGGUGUGUCGAAUGUGAAAGCCCACAACUCAACUGUGGAAUGGCAUUCGAAACUACCUGGCUAGAGUACUGGAGAGGAGAGCGGAAUUCUUGGUGUAGCGGUGAAAUGCGUAGAUAUCAAGAGGAACACCGGUGGCGAAGGCGGCUCUCUGGACAGAUACUGACGCUGAGGCUCUAAAGUUAGGGGAGCAAACAGGAUUAGAUACCCUGGUAGUCCUAACUGUAAACGGUGUACACUUGGUGUGCGAGGAAUUGUCCCUUUGCGCGCCGUAGCUAACGCGUUAAGUGUACCGCCUGGGGAGUACGGUCGCAAGAUUAAAACUCAAAGGAAUUGACGGGGACCCGCACAAGCGGUGGAGCAUGUGGCUUAAUUCGAUGCAACGCGAAGAACCUUACCUGGACUUGACAUGCAAGUGGUAGAACCCUGAAAGGGGGACGACCGUAGCAAUACGGAGCUUGCACAGGUGCUGCAUGGCUGUCGUCAGCUCGUGCCGUGAGGUGUUGGGUUAAGUC